rnacentral:misc_RNA from 1 species
GUUAAUGACCGUUGAAGUCUC